UACGGGGGGAGCAAGCGUUGUUCGGAUUUACUGGGCGUAAAGGGCGCGUAGGCGGCCACCGCAAGUCGACUGUGAAAUCUCCGGGCUUAACUCGGAAAGGUCAGCCGAUACUGCGGGGCUAGAGUGCAGAAGGGGCAACUGGAAUUCUCGGUGUAGCGGUGAAAUGCGUAGAGAUCCGGAGGAACACCAGUGGCGAAGGCGACACGCUGGGCCGUACCUGACACUGAUGCGCGACAGCAUGGGGGAGCAAACAGG
rnacentral:rRNA from 1 species